rnacentral:rRNA from 1 species
GACGAGGGAUCCUAGCGUUGUUCGGAAUCAUUGGGCGUAAAGCGGGUGUAGGUGGGCUUCUAAGUCAGAUGUGAAAUCCCAGGGCUCAACCCUGGAAGUGCAUUUGAUACUGGAAGUCUUGAGUGUGGUAGAGGUUACUGGAAUUGUUGGUGUAGUGGUGAAAUACGUAGAUAUCAACAGGAAUACCGGAGGCGAAGGCGAGUAACUGGGCCAACACUGACACUGAGACCCGAAAGCGUGGGGAUCAAGCAGG